rnacentral:rRNA from 1 species
CACGUAGGGCGCAAGCGUUGUCCGGAAUUAUUGGGCGUAAAGAGCUCGUAGGCGGUUCGUCGCGUCGAAUGUGAAAACCCGGGGCUCAACUCCGGGCUUGCAUUCGAUACGGGCGGACUAGAGUUCGGUAGGGGAGACUGGAAUUCCUGGUGUAGCGGUGAAAUGCGCAGAUAUCAGGAGGAACACCGGUGGCGAAGGCGGGUCUCUGGGCCGAUACUGACGCUGAGGAGCGAAAGCGUGGGGAGCGAACAGG